rnacentral:rRNA from 1 species
GACGAACGCUGGCGGCGUGCUUAACACAUGCCAGUCGAACGGAAAGGCCCUGCUUUUGUGGGGUGCUCGAGUGGCGAACGGGUGAGUAACACGUGAGUAACCUGCCCUUGACUUUGGGAUAACUUCAGGAAACUGGGGCUAAUACCGGAUAGGAGCUCCUGCUGCAUGGUGGGGGUUGGAAAGUUUCGGCGGUUGGGGAUGGACUCGCGGCUUAUCAGCUUGUUGGUGGGGUAGUGGCUUACCAAGGCUUUGACGGGUAGCCGGCCUGAGAGGGUGACCGGCCACAUUGGGACUGAGAUACGGCCCAGACGCCUACGGGAGGCAGCAGUGGGGAAUAUUGCACAAUGGGCGGAAGCCUGAUGCAGCAACGCCGCGUGCGGGAUGACGGCCUUCGGGUGGUAAACCGCUUUCGCCUGUGACGAAGCGUGAGUGACGGUAAUGGGGAAAGAAGCACCGGCUAACUACGU